UUUGAUAGAUCUAUCGGUAUCCUACCGCGCCUUUUCGCAGUGUUACUGCUGGGCUCAAGGGUACAGAUUAAACCCAUAGUAUAAGUGGAGUAAUGUGAAUGGCCCGUAUUGCCGGUGUCAACAUUCCAGAU
rfam:SAR92 bacterium BACL16 MAG-120619-bin48 contig00047.0_to_2_1_120619-bin48, whole genome shotgun sequence.